rnacentral:rRNA from 1 species
UACGUAGGGUGCGAGCGUUAAUCGGAAUUACUGGGCGUAAAGCGUGCGCAGGCGGUUUUGUAAGUUAGAGGUGAAAGCCCAGGGCUCAACCCUGGAAUUGCCUUUAAGACUGCAUCGCUUGAACAUCGGAGAGGUAAGUGGAAUUCCGAGUGUAGAGGUGAAAUUCGUAGAUAUUCGGAAGAACACCAGUGGCGAAGGCGACUUACUGGACGAUUGUUGACGCUGAGGUGCGAAAGCGUGGGGAGCAAACAGG